AGUCACUGACAUUAGAUACCCCCUGUAGUCCUGGGUGUAAACGCUGCAGACUUGGUGUUGGAAGUCCUUUGGGGGCAUUCAGUGCCGGAGAGAAGUUGUUAAGUCUGCUACUUGGGGAGUACGUCCGCAAGGAUGAAACUUAAAGGAAUUGGCGGGGGAGCACCGCAACGGGAGGAGCGUGCGGUUUAAUUGGAUUCAACACCGUAAACUCACCAGGGAAGACUGUUACAUGAAGGCCGAGAUGAAGACUCUGCUAGAUUUUCAG
rnacentral:rRNA from 1 species